rnacentral:rRNA from 1 species
CCUACGGGCGGCAGCAGUGGGGAAUAUUGGACAAUGGGGGCAACCCUGAUCCAGCCAUGCCGCGUGUGUGAAGAAGGCCCUCGGGUUGUAAAGCACUUUCAGUGAGGAAGAACGCCUGGUGGUUAAUACCCAUCAGGAAAGACAUCACUCACAGAAGAAGCACCGGCUAACUCCGUGCCAGCAGCCGCGGUAAUACGGAGGAUGCGAGCGUUAAUCGGAAUUACUGGGCGUAAAGCGCGCGUAGGUGGCUUGAUAAGCCGGUUGUGAAAGCCCCGGGCUCAACCUGGGAACGGCAUCCGGAACUGUCAAGCUAGAGUGCAGGAGAGGAAGGUAGAAUUCCCGGUGUAGCGGUGAAAUGCGUAGAGAUCGGGAGGAAUACCAGUGGCGAAGGCGGCCUUCUGGACUGACACUGACACUGAGGUGCGAAAGCGUGGGUAGCAAACAGGAUUAGAUACCCGUGUAGUC